GAUUCAAGAUAGUCCACAAAGGAAGAAUGACCACUGCCAGCCUUCAGCCAGACUGCAGGCUGGCUGGACUUGACACUGCAGACAACCUGACAGACCUGAGCCCUGGAACAGCCAACCAGGGAACCCAGAUCCACCCAAAGAGCGUCCACCGUCACAGAACCAGAGGCCCACAGAUAAUGGCAUAAAGCCGCCACCGGACACAACACGUGAUGCAACCCCCAGCCUAACCAAGUAUCCACCACUUACGGACCCCUAUGGAAGUUGGCCGUCCCUUUCUCCUCAGAAAAGAAGAAAGCUGCAAUCGAACAAACUGACCACCAGAACUAAAGGAACAGAACCCCCAGUGCCAGAGAGCACGAAGCUCCCAAACAUGAGCCCCAGAAGCCAAGGCCAACAAAAAUAAGGCCUUCCGAAAACAAUCACAGACCAAAGGGGCCAUGACAAAACGAGGAGAAGACUGAAAACAAAGAACCCGAUCUAAAGACCAGGAAGGCUCAGGCAUGAACAGGUCAGAGGUGAACAAACGCACGUGAAAGCUACAUCCGUUGGUGUUGGCUCUGACAACGUCGCACGCUAGUAAGCGACAGUAUUUGGCAUGAGACGCCGGUCCAGAAAAAGCUGAGCAAGAAAGAACAACAAAACCCAGUGCGAAAUUGCAGAAAAUCUCCUAAGAGAAUGGAACUAUCAGAAAGACCGCCAAGACUACAUAUUGUCGCCUAGAAGACCACAGAUGGGACACCAUCAAAGAAGCCACCUGACUACCAUAGAAAUGGCAAUACACCCACAUCAAAAAGACUAGACACGAAGUGUGAAUCAAUGAAUCACCGAAAAUUACCGAGUGAAUCAGGUGUAAAUCACCAAACAAUCAGCACUUGAAACCAAGGCUGGGCCAGCCACCAUGGAAUCAGGAAAAGAACCCUUCCCCCUGAUAGUAUUCU